CUGAAAUGAACGCUUGAAGAUGGCUAAUGCUGAU
rnacentral:sRNA from 1 species